rnacentral:rRNA from 1 species
CAGUGUCUGAGGCUCGCUGCAAUCGCGUGUCGCCCUUUUCCGGUUGAUCCCGCCGGACCCGACUGCUAUCAGAAUAGGACUAAGCCAUGCGAGUCAACGUACACCUAGUAGCAAUACUAUAUGUACGUGGCAUACGGCUCAGUAACACGUAGUCAACAUGCCCAGGGGACGUGGAUAACCUCGGGAAACUGAGGAUAAACCGCGAUAGGUCAUAAUGACUGGAAUGAUUUAUGGCUGAAAUCUACAUGGCCUCUGGAUUGGACUGCGGCCGAUCAGGCUGUUGGUGAGGUAAUGGCCCACCAAACCUAAAACCGGUACGGGCUCUGAGAGGAGGAGCCCGGAGAUGGGCACUGAGACAAGGGCCCAGGCCCCAUGGGGCGCAGCAGGCGCGAAACCUCUGCAAUAGGCGAAAGCUUGACAGGGUUAUUCUGAGUGGUUUCCGCUAAGGAAAUCUUUUGGCACCUCUAAAAAUGGUGCAGAAUAAGGGGUGGGCAAGCCUGGUGUCAGCCGCCGCGGUAAUACCAGCACCCCGAGUGGUCGGGACGAUUAUUGGGCCUAAAGCAUCCGUAGCCGGUUCUGCAAGUCUUCCGUUAAAUCCACCUGCUUAACAGUUGGGCUGCGGAGGAUACUAUAGAGCUAGGAGGCGGGAGAGGCAAGCGGUACUUAGUGGGUAGGGGUAAAAUCCGUUGAUCCACUGAAGACCACCAGUGGCGAAGGCGGCUUGCCAGAACGCGCUCGACGGUGAGGGAUGAAAGCUGGGGGAGCAAACCGGAUUAGAUACCCGGGUAGUCCCAGCUGUAAACGAUGCAGACUCGGUGAUGAAUAAGCUUCGUGCUUAUUCAGUGCCGCAGGGAAGCCGUUAAGUCUGCCGCCUGGGGAGUACGGUCGCAAGACUGAAACUUAAAGGAAUUGGCGGGGGAGCACCACAAGGGGUGAAGCCUGCGGUUCAAUUGGAGUCAACGCCGGGAAUCUUACCGGGGGCGACAGCAGAAUGAAGGUCAGGCUGAAGACUUUACCAGACAAGCUGAGAGGAGGUGCAUGGCCGUCGCCAGCUCGUGCCGUGAGGUGUCCUGUUAAGUCAGGUAACGAGCGAGAUCCCUGCCUCUAGUUGCUACCAUUGCUCUCAGGAGUAAAGGGGCUAAUUAGAGGGACUGCCGUCGCUGAGACGGAGGAAGGAGGGGGCUACGGCAGGUCAGUAUGCCCCGAAACCCUCGGGCCACACGCGGGCUGCAAUGGUAAGGACAAUAAGUUCCUAGUCCGAAAGGAGGAGGUAAUCUCCAAACCUUACCUCAGUUAUGAUUGAGGGCUGCAACUCGCCCUCAUGAAUAUGGAAUCCCUAGUAACCGCGUGUCACAAUCGCGCGGUGAAUACGUCCCUGCUCCUUGCACACACCGCCCGUCGCUUCAUCGAAGUUGGUUCUUGGCGAGGUGGUGUCUAAUUGGCACUAUCGAACCUGGGGUCAGCAACGAGGGAGAAGUCGUAACAAGGUAACCAAGGGCGACACGCGAUGCAGUCAAUC